rnacentral:misc_RNA from 1 species
GAUGAAGAACGUAGCAAAAUGCGAUAAGUAAUGUGAAUUGCAGAAUUCAGUGAAUCAUCGAAUCUUUGAACGCACAUUGCGCCCGCCAGUAUUCUGGCGGACAUGCCUGUUCGAGCGUCAUUUCAACCCUCAAGCACAGCUUGGUGUUGGGACUCGCGUUAAUUCGCGUUCCCCAAAUUGAUUGGCGGUCACGUCGAGCUUCCAUAGCGUAGUAGUAAAACCCUCGUUACUGGUAAUCGUCGCGGCCACGCCGUUAAACCCCAACUUCUGAAUGUUGACCUCGGAUCAGGUAGGAAUACCCGCUGAACUUAAGCAUAUCAAUAAGCGGAGGA